UCUCCUACGGGACGCAGCAGUGAGGAAUAUUGGUCAAUGGGCGAGAGCCUGAACCAGCCAAGUCGCGUGAAGGAUGACGGCCCUAUGGAUUGUAAACCUCUUUUGUCAGGGAGCAAAGGGCGCCACGUGUGGCGUUUUGCGAGUACCUGAAGAAAAAGCAUCGGCUAACUCCGUGCCAGCAGCCGCGGUAAUACGGAGGAUGCGAGCGUUAUCCGGAUUUAUUGGGUUUAAAGGGUGCGCAGGCGGAAUGUCAAGUCAGCGGUAAAAUUUCGGGGCUCAACCCCGUCGUGCCGUUGAAACUGGCG
rnacentral:rRNA from 1 species